rnacentral:pre_miRNA from 1 species
GGAAACUUGGAAACUACCGUUAGAUCGAGCAAUGAACAUUCGAGAUUCGUCUACGUCACCAUGAGUAAAAUUUUAACUCAUGAAUGAUCUAAAUUUUAACUCACGAUAACGUGGACGAAUCUCGGACGUCCUUGCUCGAUCCAACGGUAGUUUCCAAGCUUCC